GACACGUAGUUAGCCUGUGGCUUAUUCGCCGGGUACCGUCACGAUCUUCCCCGGCAAAAGGGGUUUACGACCCAAGAGCCUUCUUCACGCCCACACGCGGCGUUGCUGCGAGCAGGCUUUCGCCCAUUGCGCAGAAUUCCCUG
rnacentral:rRNA from 1 species